rnacentral:rRNA from 1 species
CACGUAGUUAGCCGAGGCUUUCUGGUUAGGUACCGUCAAGGUACCGCCCUAUUCGAACGGUACUUGUUCUUCCCUAACAACAGAGCUUUACGAUCCGAAAACCUUCAUCACUCACGCGGUGUUGCUCCGUCAGACUUUCGUCCAUUGCGGAAGAUUCCCUA